UAGUUUCGAUCAAUACGGACGCUCUCUGCAACGGAAAAAGGCAUGCUCCUACUUAUUUAUUUAUGUUUUAUUUUUGAUUCAUUUUGUCGGUUACCACCCACAAAUACACACUCGCAUAUAAACAUUUGUACAGGUAUAUAUCUAAAAAUUGAAUCUCCCUUUUCUCCGGUGCCUAUUUCUUGAUGUCGACGAAGAGGACUGUUUCGGGUGUCCCGCCGGACUUGACAUCAAAGAAAUCAGGGAUAGAAGAGGAUUCUAUAUACUUGCUUUACUUUCAUGAGGAGGGUCCUGUUGGAUAUGCCAUGUACAGGAUUAAUGUUGGUACUUUUUCUAUCGAUGAAAAUGCCAGUAACAAUGCUGUAGCGAUCAGUCCUGUACUUGAAUUACCGAGAGCCCAUUAUCCUAGGUUUAUGGCUGCUUUUGCAGUGGGCUCUAGAAUUUUUCUGAUUGGGGGUGAAAUAGGAAUAGACAUUGGGGGUGAAAUAGGAAUAGACGACGAUGACUACGACGACCGCGACAAGCCAACUGUGCGUCUCUCUGAAAUGGUUUAUGUUUGUAAUACCGCCUCAGCCUUGCCCUUGUCAGUUUUCCAGGGAACUCCCAUGAAUGGUGGGAAGACAUUUCCCAUUAUCAUCCCUAUUAAUGAGAUGAUAUAUGUAAUUUCAGAAUUACCUACCUUGUACACUUAUCUUGACGAAGAUACUACACUGUUCGAAGUUUUCGACCCCAAUGCCAAUGAAGGAAAAGGAAAAUGGUCUUCUUUGUCAAACCCUCCAUUCUAUCCUAGUUCCUGUGAUGAUUAUGGUUGUGGGGCUUGGUCUCGGUCUCAUGUAAGCAAGAUUGUUUCUCAUGCUGUCGUCGAGUGUAAGAUCUUUUUCUGUACCACUAGAAAAGAUCACAUGUACGCGUUUGAUGUUAAUUGCAACACAUGGGAGCGUUUUGAUAUAUAUAAUCCGAUUGGUGAGGUCCAUUUUCCUUUCAGAGAUGGAGCAAUGUUGAUAUCUGACAAGUCGUGGGCUGCCACAGGUGCGUACUCUGAAUCUCUGGUAUGCACUUAUGAUCUCACAGCAGAAUUUGGAUUUGUUAGGAAGAAUGUUGAAGAUCUUGAGGCCAUUACAUCUUCUAACCCACAUCUGGCUUAUUAUGUGAUGGACUAUCAACUGCUUGACUUAUCAAAUGGAUGGUAUUGUCUUCUCCAAUUCGGCACCGAUGAUGAACACUUUCGUAGAGGAAAUCAAUACAUUUUUGCUUCUGUAUUACGCCUGGUCAAAAAACGCAUGGAUGAUGUGUUUUUUAAUGAUGUAUAUCCUUGGCCAUGUCACUGUAAGCCGUUGACCAAAGAUUCUUGUGACGUUGAAAAGAGUAUAGGGCAGAUUGAAGUAUUUGGUGCUACAGACCUGCACAACUCUCUGUUUUCUAUUGGGGCCAAAAGCUUCAUGACGGUCUUAGUCGCUUGCUUCCCCAUCCAGCCCAAACAACAAAAGCAGCAUAGUAGUGAAGCCACAACUCGAGAACCGAGAGCUCCACAACCAACUUGCGACGGCGUCACCGCCUCCGUUGUUAAAUACUCUCUCUGAGCGACCUCUUUGUCUCUCAAACAACCCCUAAAGAACGAACCAACGAAAAAGUUCCUAUCGAACUCAACAAAGCAAGGGACUUGUCAUUUGACUGACAAGAAAAUUAACACCAAUUUGUAAGGAUGUCGGUCGCGCAACUCAUCGGUGGUACAGUCUCUAAUGGAUUGACAAGUACAAGUAGUGGAUGAAACACUAUAAACAGGAUGACGGGGUCAUUCUGUUUGGGACAGCCAAGAGGACCUCCUAAUUUUGUUGCAUUAGUUGAUAGGAAGAGAUUGAGCCAUGGUGGUGUUUUUCGGCACUGCAGUCUAGCCACAAACCAUGAGACAAUGUUGUUUCCCUCAAGAUUGGCUCGUCAAAGAAAGCACAAUUUUUCUGUGGUCAGUAAUCAAUUGAGUUCAGAUUGUGGUGUGCAUUCUUCUUCUUAUGUGGAUGAGAGUUCUACUGUGGAAGAACAUUGUCUAACGAGUUCAAUCGAUGUGUUCACUGAGAAUCCUAGUUGUCAACCGCAUGUUCAGAAUGUCAAACAAGAGCUUAUAAUGCUUUCUUUGCCUGCAAUUGCUGGACAGGCUAUUGAGCCAUUGGCACAACUGAUGGAGACAGCCUAUAUUGGUAGAUUGGACCCGGGUACGAUUCCACUUCAAGCUAUUGUUCUUAUCAGCGAGGAUUGAUGUGGAAGCCUUCAAUUUAAGGAUCUGUGCAGUUGGCAUCAGCUGGUGUUUCCAUGUCAAUCUUUAACGUUAUAUCAAAGCUAUUUAAUAUUCCUCUCCUCAGUGUUGCUACUUCUUUUGUGGCUGAAGACAUUUCAAAUAUUGCAAGCAGAACUUCCGCCGCAGGAGAGCAUUGUCAAAGGGAAAGCGGCAAUGGUAAACCUUUUGCCGUGAUAAAUACGCACCAGCAACUAUCCUCUGUGUCUAUGGCUUUAGUUUUAGCAGCCGCCAUUGGCAUCUUUGAGGCUUUAGCCUUGUCUUUGGGAUCUGGACUGUUUCUGAGCUUGUUGGGAAUAUCGCCAGCAAGUUCUAGAUUUGUCAAGUUUUAUUAAGAUAUCAGUGUCAGUUGACCGGCCUCUCUCACAGUUGUGUGUGUGCGCGCGUCCCAACAAAGCCUUGAUCUGUGCUGCUUGAGUUGACUUCAUGAAUAAUGGUUCUCCGUUCAGCUCUAUCUAGUUGAAUGCUCUACCUUGAGAUUGUAAUUCGAGUGGGUGUGCAUGGCCAACAAAGCCUCAAUUUCCAGCUUUUUGGGAGGAAGGGAUCAUUUUACUAUUCAGCUUUUUAUUAUGCAAUGUCUAGCUACUGCAACCCUCCUCCAGUAUUGGACUUGGCUGUGGGUUGUGUUAUCUACAGCAUACGCUAAAUAGUUUCAAAAUGCAUUAUUUUCCUAUGCUUAGAUCAACUCAGUAAUACUAUUGAAGUAAGAAAGGAAAGUAAAGAAGAAUAGGGGCCAGGCUGUAGUAGUACUGAUUGAAUCAUUCUAUGCAAAUGGUCUCCAAAUAUUUGGGGGUUUGCACCAAUCCCCAGAACUAUGACAAGAUACAAUGUACUUGUUGUCCUCUCUAUUGGUGUAGAAUUGUGGUUCAUUAGGUCAAUGCAGAGGUCAGUGCUGGUUUAUAUUUGGCAAAUUGUUCUUUUUCAAGAACAUUGUUUUUCAGAGUUCUCAUGUUUUCUUUUCAAGUGACACGUCAUGACUUCUCAUAUCUAUUCUCUAUUCUCCCUGUGGUUUUCAUGCACAUGACUGAACUUUUAUGAAGAUUUUUUUUUUGUUAUUUUAGUGAAGUCUUAUUAUUAUUUUUUUAACAGGAUUCCUCCAUGCAUGUUCCAGAACAGUGAUUUCUUUGUCUUAGAGCCCUUGGUGCUCCUGCAGUUGUAGUUUCCUUGGCUCUUCAAGGCAUUUUUCAUGGUUUUAAGGAUACAAAAACUCCUGUAUCUAGGCAAGUGUUUGGUUUAACCUGUAAAGGUAAAAUUAUGUAAAUCCUCCAAUUCAUUUGGCAUGCUUCCAUGUGCAUGGCAUUAAAUAAGAAUUUCUUGAGACAUAGUUCUUAUUGACAAUAGCUUGCUGUUUUCCAAGGUCUUUAAAGCCUUCCUUUACCUUUUAUCUGCUUCAAAAGUUUGGUUAUUUUCUUGUUGCUAAUAUUUUAUUUUUAAUAUGGGUAUCAUCAUAAAACUUCAAAAAUGCAUUCUUACUAUCGUCAUUGGCCACCUGAUCAGCACUUCUGUGGACCACCACUUGUUAGUUGUGGAGCUAAAUGGUGAUUUAUUUUUUGUUAUGUGGACUUGUUUAUAGGUGUUGCAUGUACCAAACCAAACCAAACCAAACUAAACCUUGUAUCCCACUCAAGUAGGGUCAGCUAAGGUGUUGCAUGCGAUGUUUGUAAAUGUUGGACUUGUUCCAUAACCUCAUCCUAGCUAGGCUUCAGGGAAUGUACAUGCAUGGAUACAUUAACAGUUUCCAAAAAGGUAUGACAUGGAAAGAAAUCAUUCAACUAUAAAAUAGAGAAUCUAGACUUGGAACACCAUAGUAUCUAGAUCCUUGAAGUAUUUUUCUGUGACAAUUUUUAAUAUUCCCUCAAAGUUGGGUAUUGGAUGGGAAAUUUGUGUACAAACCAAAUGUAACUAGAAAUCCAUCUAGAGAAAAGCAUGGGGACGAAAUUAUAGUAUUGGAAGCGUAUCUUAUAACUAUGUUAAUGUUAAUGUUAAUGUCAAUGUCAUUUCAGACAGGUGAUGAUGUUAUAUUGCAUGUCCAAUAUGUAUAUAUAUAUAUAUGAAAUUGAUGUUUGAAAGAAAACUUGACCUUUUCGGUCCUAUUCUUCGUUGCUUUGGUGGUGUACUUGAAUGGCUUUAGGGCACUGAAUUAAGUUUCUCUAUUUGGUUUCCAGUAGUAGAAGUAGUUUAUGAUGGUUUCAAAUCAUGAAAUUAAAUUCAUUUUAGAGGUUAUGACGUGGAGUGAUGGCUAGUGCUAUUCGCUCCCUACACUAUGGCGUGGAUUUGAGUCAUUAGAAUCAACCUCUUCACAAAAAAGUUGCCGAAAGGUC